GUGGGUAACCUGCCUUAUAGUGGGGGAUAGCCUUUCGAAAGGAAGAUUAAUACCGCAUAAGAUUGUAGUAUCGCAUGAUAUAGCAAUUAAAGGAGCAAUUCGCUAUAAGAUGGACCUGCGUCGCAUUAGCUAGUUGGUGAGGUAAUGGCUCACCAAGGCGACGAUGCGUAGCCGACCUGAGAGGGUGAUCGGCCACAUUGGAACUGAGACACGGUCCAGACUCCUACGGGAGGCAGCAUG
rnacentral:rRNA from 1 species